rnacentral:lncRNA from 1 species
ACUCUUAGAUGGAAAUUGCCUGUAGUAGUUGGAAGCUAUGUGCCUUAGGCAAUACCGAUGGUGUGUGCGCUGCCAUAAGCUUCCCUGUCGAUCAAUUGCAACUAGUAUGCCGGUGCCCCGAUCUGAAAUAACACAGAUAUCAGGUUAGGGGCACACAUGCCUCCUUAACCUAGAUAGAAAGAAAUCCCAGUCAUCAGUUGACUCCCCCGGUGUUAUUGCAAAUGCAAGUGGAAGAAUUCUCCCACUGCCAUCCUGUGCCACUGCUACCAAUAGCCGAUGGGUAUAUCUACCAAACAUAAAGGUACCGUCAAUUUGUACCAAUGGCUUGCAGUAUGGAAAUGCUUCUCGGCAUUGCUUAAAGGUCCAAAACAGGCUUUUGAACACU